rnacentral:rRNA from 1 species
AUGGCAAAAAAGACCCCCAGCCCUCCGCCGAGGGCAAGAUCUCGCCGGGGCGCGGCGCCGCCGUCGCCAACCCCAGCCGCUGCUCUGAGCCCUCCCUUCUCCCCUGCCCCGUUGCGCACCCGCCUUGGCGCUGCUGCUGCUGCUGCGGCGGCGGCGGCCGCCGCCGCCGCCGCCGCCUCCUCAUCCCCCGUCGAGCACCCAUGCGUCACGCUGUGGGAAUGGUGUCCGGUGAUGGUGGAAGGGGAGGAGCGGAAGCUCGCGGUUUCCGGCUUCACUGAAAGGAAUGACGCAUUCACUUCUGCACCCAUAGCACAUCGUUAUGAGCCUCUCACGCUCCAGGAUGAAGGUGGGGUUGUGGUGCUCCUUCAUGGUUCAAUUAACUUAUUGCGAAUGCGUGAAAAUGGAUUUUCUGUGCAGAUAUGCGAACAAUUCAUGAUUGGAUUUCCGUCCUGGUGGGAGACUUGGGAUUCACACAUGGGGUCUUACCCAAACUGUUUUAUUGAUCCACGAGAGGGUUCAGCUCAGUUUUACCUGGAGAAAUUCCAGCUAGGCAAUUUUAUUCAAAAGUUUGGACCCUUGUUCAUCGAGGACCUUCUUAAUAAUGCUAAAAAUUUCCCAAUCGACCAUCUCGAUGCAUUCACAGAGAGUUCAAGAUUCCAGGAAUACAACUGUGGAAAUGAUGCUUCAACCAAGGAAAAUUCUGCUGCUUCAGAUGAUGCCAGACCCGCAACUGUAGCUAAUGUGGAAAUAGGCUUGACUGCGAGCAGCAUUUCACAAGAAAGAGAUCAUGUGGACAUUGAGUGUAAUGUAUCUCUUGCUUCUGCAGAAACAUAUACUGGUGAUGAAACUUGCAAAGAGGCAGGAAAUCAGAAUGACACUAUGCAUCCAGAUGCAAGGGAAGACGAUGCUGGUAGCCAUCUUUUCAACUCCGAUUGGACUUGCACUAUGUUCCCUGAUCAUAUGCCCAAUGACUCGGAAGGUGGAAAUGCCACCAGUGCUGAAAAUACCACCAUGUCCCCUGAUAAUAUGCCCAAUGACUCGGAAGGUGGAAAUGUCACCAGUGCUAAAAAUGCCACCAUGUCUCCUGAUCAUAUGUCCCCUGAUAAUAUGCCCAAUGACUCGGAAGGUGGAAAUGCCCCCAGUGCUGAAAACUCAGUAGAACUGCUGGCUAAAUAUCAUUUAGCCAUAGUACCGCCUGAAAGUGCUAAUUGCUGCUCAGAGAUUCCUGGUGCUUCUCAAAGUGUUGAACCCUCAAGUUAUGAAAGUACUCCAGUGGCCUCAUUGAAGAACCAACACUGCUUGGAAACAACUGAGCACAUCACAUUGACUCAGAAGGCAGUAUCAAAUGAAGAUACACCAUCUUCAAUUCACUCAGAUGUGCAAUCUCAGGAAAAACAGACUGUAGGUUCAGCAGAGAAGCGAAGAUCUGCAAAGCAAGUGUUGGAGCGUCCUACUAGAUCGCCAAUGACCAGAACUUCAGCUCCAUAUGGGCAUAAAUCUCGGCUUACUCGUUCUAGGGCCCAGUCAUUAUCUAUUUCCACACCUGAGUGUCUCAAAAUGAGAAGAACCAAAUCAGGUCGAGUGGUAGUACCCCUAUUGGAUCCAGGAAGCAGUAGGAUUGUCUAUGAUAACAAUGGGUUGAUUUCAGGCGUCGCUCCUGUGGAUGGGAAGAAGUCAGCGAGACCUGCAAGGAAGACAAGGGGGCGUCUCUGA